AUUGAACGCUGGCGGCAGGCCUAACACAUGCAAGUCGAACGAGUGGCGGACGGGUGAGUAAUGUCUGGGAAACUGCCUGAUGGAGGGGGAUAACUACUGGAAACGGUAGCUAAUACCGCAUAACAUAGACUGUGCCCAGAUGGGAUGAGCUAGUAGGUGGGGUAAAGGCUCAACUAGUCGACGAUCCCUAGCUGGUCUGGGAGGAUGACCAGCCACACUGGAACUGAGACACGGUCCAGACUCCUACGUCAGGCAGCAGUGGGUAAUAUUGCACACUGGGCGCAAGCCUGAUGCAGCCAUGCCGCGUGUAUGAAGAAGGCCUUCGGGUUGUAAAGUACUUUCAGCGGGGAGGCGUUACCCGCAGAAGAAGCACCGGCUAACUCCGUGCCAGCAGCCGCGGUAAUUC
rnacentral:rRNA from 1 species